AGUGUGCUGUCUACAUGGCCUGGUUAGACUGAGCAGAGAUCCGAGGUCUGUGCAGACUUGCUAGGAGAUAUCCCAGUGUGUAGAGGUCAUGUAUGGUUUGCCUCUGUCUGAGUCCCAUAAGACCUCCGAGGUCUCUGCUACUUCCUCUCUUCCCAAGGAAGGAAGAAACGAGGCAUUUUCCCACUAGUUUCGGUGGACGUACAUCAGGGAUACGCCUUGACCUCUCUAUGUCUCCUCAAGGGAUAAGCAUUUUUUUUUUAAUAUUUGGUGAAACAAGCUGUGGGAGGAGUGGGGAGGUUUUUUCUUGUUUUGUUAUUUAUUUAUUUAUUUAUUUAUUUAUUUAUUUAUUUAUUUAUUUAUUUAUUUAUAAACCAAGGGAGUGUAUGUUUCCUUACCAGGAGGAAGAUUUAGAAAGACUGCAUACAUCAACUACCAAUUCCGGGCAGAUGCAUUUAUUUUAUGCAUAUGAGUAAGUGGGUCCACCAUGUGUGUGCAGUCUCUACAGAGGUCAGAAGAAGGUGUUGGAUGCCCUGGAACUGGAGGUACAGACAGAGGUAAACAGCUAUGUGGGUUCUGGGAACUGAGCGUAGGUCCUCUGCAAGAGCAGGUCCCCUAACCACUGAGCCAUCUUCCCAAGUCUGUAGAAUAGAGGAAGCCUUAAAUAUUAGUGAGAAAAUCCCCUAAUGUCAACUCAGUGUGUUUUUUUGUCACGGUCCUGCUUAAAUUAUAUCCCCAGAUUUCUGUUUCCCCAAAGAGUUAGGAGGAUAAUGACCUUGUGCUCAUCCAUUAGCAAUAAUCGACAAGGAUGUCACUCAGGUAAGUUGAGUCUUCCCCAGUUGCCCAUCGCUUCCGCUUCCUGUUGUCUCAUGCUCAACUGCCUUCUUUAUGUAUCUCACCACCCCAACUAGUACUUGACUUUUAAAGCCAGAACCUACUCUUCCUUUGGUGUUUUAUGCUUAUAGGAUUUGAGGUCCAGCACCAUUUUGCACUCUGUUUGAUGUUACACAGUCCAUUUAUGGUCAUAUUGGAUUUUAGACUUUUUUUUGUUUUUUCUAUUUAUUUAUUUUAUUUAUAUGAGUACACUAUAGCUGUCUUCAGACACACCAGAAGGGACAUUAGAUCCCAUUACAGAUGGUUGUGAAGCCACCAUGUGGUUGCUGGGAUUUGAACUCAGGACCUCUGGAAGAGCAGUCAGUGCUCUUAACCGCUGAGCCAUCUCUCCAGCCCCCAGAUUUUAGACUCUUAUGUCUAAGUUCUAGUCACAUGCUGCCAUGAGACUGCUCAUCUGAAGACUGGCCCAGGUUAGUUAUUUUAAGCAAAAUCUGACGUGUUUUAUAAACUGUGGUAGUGGUUAUUCAUGAGGUAGAAGUGAGAGGGGUAAACAUUUUUUUAGGGAUAAAUAAUUCAUAUUUCCAAUAAAAAAAUACUUGAAAGCAAGAUUUCUCAGCAGGUCCUCAUAGAGACUUGUGUAUAGGGCCACAGAACCUUAAAUCUGGGGUUGUAGACAAGCUCAGAUUGUAUAAGCAGACACUAGUGUAAUGCUAUGAUAGGUCCAAUUUAAAAAAAAAUCAACCACUGUGAUAAAUCCAGCAUUCACUCAUUUAAAGGAACGGUAUCUUUACUGCUAUCCAGUGCACUAAGUUCUCUUACGUAUUUCCCACUUCAUAGGCAUAGAUGUCAAUGCUUGGCUCGAUUUACCCUAAAUCACACAACUAAUGAGCAUCAGAGGGGAAACUGGUACUCAAGAGAAUCUGACCACAAAGCUAUUAACACUUGCCACAUUGCCAGCUCUCCAGGAGGCAGAGGUGACUCCCCAGCUCACACGGAAAAGCUCCUGCAACCAUUCUGCUGCCCAUGUUAACCACACCCUCACCACCAGCUGGCACUGCCAUCACCACCUAUCGGCCAAACAUCAGUUCUUCUGAUUGCACGUCAUCAGGGUCACCUGAUACAUUACAAUGCAUCCAGGAACAACCAAAAUACAAUCCACCUGUCUGUCAUCGAUCACCACCUGCCUGGAGCUGCCAUGCUGGGGUGAAGUGACAACAGGCCAGUCACUUUUGUGUCCCUCAAGAAGCCAGUCUUUGUGCCUGCUACAUGGUGGGAUAUUCGAACUCAUUCACUGCAGUGAAAAUAUCUUGCUUUAGUUUCGAGACUGCUUGCAACUACACAAUAAAUACUUAUCUGUUUUUCUUCUCCUCCCUUGGUCCCCAAUAGACACUGGUUUUAACUAAGCAGACGCAAGUAAGCAAGGAAAUGAUGCAUUCACUAUUGUCUCAUCCUAAUGCUUCUCUACUGGUUCUGUUCUGUGCCACAGGGUGGACAGACUGCUUACCCUUCACAGAAGAGUCAAACUAAGAGCCUAGGAAGCGAAAUGCGAAGCAAGGAUGGGGAAGGUGUGGGGCUAAAGAUAAAGUGGGUGCCAGGUAGAGUUAGAUGUGUCCCUUCUAAGUGCUGGCAAUCUUUUUCAGAGAAUUUUGAGUAUCUCUUUGCAUUUGUAGUGUGUGUGUGUGUGGGGGGGGGAGGGGCGUGUAGGUCACUUUCUGAUGACUCGCCACUUUCCGGUACUCUACCCCACUAAUUUAUGUGAGAUUGGGGUGAAAGGCUGAACAUUUGACCAAGAUACCAUAACAAAAUGCUUUACUAGAAGUCUAUGGCUAUGGUGAUCAGCAUCAAGAAAUACGUAGGAAGCAAAGUUUGACCUUUUACAUCCCAAGGCUCGUCCCUAGGCUAUGACUCACUUCUGACCCUACAUAUCAGACAUGGAUCAGACAGAAGCACAACUAAGUAACAAACUUCAGGAAGCCUUAGCAGCAGCAUCUAGAAUAUGAGAUACCAGGCUAAGGAGGAGGCACCCCAUUCUCACGAGUGUCCCUGGUGUAUACAGGGUGGGAGAGGCUAGGGUUAGUGUUGUGGUUGAUAGUCCGGAAUAAACAGGAAAGAGCCAAGCACUAUUAACACCAGCUCUGGUACUCUGACUUUCUCUCCUUUCCUAGGAACCAUUAAAAGCUUCCAAGCACUUGGGUGGCACCGGGACAGCUAUUGUUUCAAAGAAGGUAACACUAAUGUGGAGGGUUCUUACGGAAAGUCCCUCAGGCAGGGACAGGUCUGGGUGAAGAGGAAGAGUCAGAUUCUCAGGUUGCUGGGAAGGGCACUUCCCAGGUGAAAGUGAAUCAUGGGAGGUGAGGCAGGUCACCAUCGGGCUUCUGGUCCAAAUCACUGGAAGAGUAAACCAUGCUUUUACUGAAAGCACUCCUCAUCUAAAGGUAAUUUACACAGAUUUAAGAAUCCGUGUAAUUGGGCUGGCAAUGAAUUGGCAGAAUGCUUUCAAAGUAUGCACGAAGCCCUGGGUUUGAUCCCAACAGCACAUAACAGGGUUUGGUGGCUGGGGGUGGGGGUGCAUGGCUUUAAUCCCAGCACUUGGGACAUGAAGACAGGAGUAUUACAAGUUCAAGACUGUCCUUGCUAGAUUGAAGAGCCUGGAGCACUAAGACACUGUCUCAAAAACAAAAAUGGACCUAUAGAUUUUAGGGGAAAAGAGAAAUUUGGGGGCAGGGGCAGGGAGCCUAAUAGAGCAUCUGCUGGACAUAAACCAAGACUUACUCAUCAACAUAUAACCAGUUAUGGGGUUGGGGAUUUAGCUCAGUGGUAGAGCACUUGCCUAGCAAGCGCAAGGCCCUGGGUUCGAUCCUCAGCUCCGGGUGGGGGCCUUGGUGGGGGUUGAAAAGAAAGAAAUCGUCCUCAUACCCUUGAAGCUGACUGGUAGAGUUGAGUUGUUCAACAUUGCCACAUUCUGUUCCUCUUACUUAGAGUAGAGAACCAGUGGGUUUUUUUUUAAAACAUUUUAUUUAUUUAUUAUAUAUUAUGAUUACACUGUCGAUAUCUUCAGACACACCAGAAGAGGGCAUCAGACUCAUUUCAGAUGGUUGUGAGCCACCAUGUGGUUGCUGGGAUUUGAACUCAGGACCUUGGGAAGAGCAGUCGGUGCUCUUAACCACUGAGCCAUCUCUCCAGCCCGAACCAGUGGUUUUUACAGGGAGAGAUCAGCUGUGGGUAUUUCUCUGAACAAAUAAGACAGCAAAAGUCCUAAUGAAGAACUGUGCUAAGAAUAAACUGAUUUCUUACACACGCCGUUUGCUUUUCUAUUUGAGUUUUGACUCCUUGUGGACUAUGUAAUUAUGUGUCAACUGUGCAUUAAUUUUGUUAAGUGCUAUUUUCCCUAUAUCAAAGGUAAAUUUUAUGUUUCAUCCAAGGUCAAAUCUCACUUUAAAAAAAAAGUGGGGUUGGGGAUUUAGCUCAGUGGUAGAGCGCUUGCCUAGCAAGCGCAAGGCCCUGGGUUUGGUCCCCAGCUCUGAAAAAAAGAAGAAAAAAGUGGAUAUUUUUUUUCCUGGUCUUAUUGAAUUUGUAUAGUUUUUUGUUAUGUAUUUGAGAGUUAUACUAAGAACUACUUCUGACAUUCACUGCCACCAAAUAGGUGUGUCUUAGGAGUUGAAGAGACUUAAUUCAUUAAAGUGUCGUGAACAAGUGGCAACAUGGCCACAUUUUUUUUCUCUCUUAAAUCUGAGUCCUCUCAUCGUGAGCCCGCAUCACUGGGGAUUCCGGGCUGCAGUUGGGAAGGGUCUGGGCCGUUAUGUGCGAAAACACAUUUCUCCAAAUUGCAUUCACUGAAUGUACCACUCCAGCACAGAGAGCAAGCAGGGAUACGUAACCACGCUCAUUGGUUAUGCUUCAAAUUGGCCCUGUGAAAAACAUGAAGGAAAAUGACAUUUGCUGGGGAACGUCUCUUUUUUCCCCAUAAGGGGAUUGUUUUGUGUGGCUGAUCUGAUCGAUUUAUUUUUUAAGUAGUUUUGCCAAUUUUUUAAAAAGAUUUAUUUACUCAUUUUCUAUAUACAAGUACUCUGUCAUUCUCUUCAGACACACCAGCAGAGGGCAUCAGAUCCCAUUACAGAUGGUUGUGAGCCACCAUGUGGUUGCUGGGAAUUGAACUCAGAACCUCUGGAAGAGCAGUCGGUGCUUUAAACCGCUGAGCCAUCUCUCCAGCUCAGAUCUGAUUGAUUUUUAUUGGAUCAGUUUAAUUUUUCUCUCUUCUCAGGUAGAGUGUGGGUUUUAUUUUUCCUGUUCUUCAACACAGUCUGCCACACAGCCUGCCACAGUCCUCAUCAUCCCUCUCAGCUUAGGGAAGUCUGAAGAAGCACUUGGGACCGUGGCCAUAAUAUCAGGUUGUAACAGUAGGUGACAGGAAUGGAACACCUCAUCACAGACCCCUCCUUUUUCUUUCUUUUAAUCCAGGCUGGCUUCAAACUCUAGACCCUCCUGCCUCAGACCUCUCAAGUACUACUAUGAUUGCAGGGGUGCGCCACACCUAACUGGAACCAGGCUUUCCGUAUUCUAUCCAAACAAAGAAGCCUUCAACAAAGAUCAAGCAGAAUUGAUCCCAAGUUGUUCUCUUCACAGAUACAUAAUGGACCCAUAGAUCCAGGGUCUAGAAUUCAUCGCCAGUCCCCCGCAAUGCUGGUGGCACCUUGGUCCAAUGGCAGGAUGAUAGCAGGUAGCCCAGCAGUACUGUCCACAGGGCACUUUCUGUCUGCAAUUAUAGCCUGCCAGAGCCAUUUAUUUCCUUGCUUGGUGAAAAUGUUUUCAUUUGAAUUUCUCUUGAGCACUUGGAGAAGCAGAGAACAACGGGCAGGUUGCGUGGGAAACAAAGUCCUUAAAAACAUGGUCCUGGAGCCCAUGGCCAAACUUGGAUUUUUGAUGAUUUUGCAUAAAAUCAGUAUUUCAAAUCUACUCUGCUGAGGUCGGCUGAGAUGAGGUCUUGAAGGACACACAGGACAGAACUCCUGGCUCCUUUGUUACUUCUGAAACAUGAACUGCUUUUAGCAAUAAGGGCUGGAAUGUUCCAUAGGAACUCGGAGCAUGGGACAGAGGGAUAUGACACACACUCGGUGUGGGCUAUUUAAAACCAGGCCCUUGGCUUCCCUCUGUGAUUCUAAAUACGUGAAACCACAUUGCCCUGCAGCAGCCGGUAACUAUUUCUAUGACACUGCCCAGCAUCUGUGCUCAGAGUGGCUGGGUCCACCCAACAAAAAGAAAGUAGCACAUAGUCCAGGUUUCCAGUGUCCAGCUAACGUCCACCUAGUGUCAGAUCGAGAGGGCGCUGGGGGAGUGAGAGGUCUUGAAAGUUAAGGACCGAUCUAUUGAACUAUCUAUCUCAGGUGCCUUAGCACGUUUUUUAAAAAAGUCCAUUUUAAACAAGCCAUUUAUACGACUAAUGAAUAGUGUAAGCAAAACUGAUCGUUUUCUCAGGAUGAGCACAGCCUACAGAAUGAUCCCAGACUUACAGACAUUGCUCCUCUCUGAAUCGUAAAACCUGUUUUAAUUUUUUUUUUCUUUGACGUGUUACCGCUUCCCUUCAUCGAACGGAUAAACAACCCCUUAGGUAUUGUGUACUUAAUUGCCAACCGACCAAAGGCGUUAGCCAGGGAGUGACAAUAAUGAGCCUUGUUAUAUAAUGUCAAAACACCUUGACCAAGUUUGUAAAUGCAAUCGGUCAGUCCAGCUUUUAGGAUUUCUGACAGACUGUAUCAAGUAACUUUAUGCGUUUUUAUCUUGACGUCAAGAAUUAAAGCUUCAGCCUUUAUAAAACAUGUAAGACUUUGCCACAUCCAAUACACCACAUCUUGAACUCGAUCCAAGGCUGCGUGUUCACACCUUUGAUCCCGGCAGUGGGGACGAAAAGGGAGGAAUAUCAGAAGCUGAGGGGCCAGCAGAGCUCUUGGCAGGGUCAGCCAGCAUGAACUAUGUGAGACCCUUUCAUAUAUAUAUAUAUAUAUAUAUAUAUAUAUAUAUAUAUAUAUAUAUAUAUAUAUCUGAUCACAAGACUUCAAAAAUAUGUCUUAUCAUUUCCAUUUUGAAGAUAAGGGGAGAGGAGGGAGAGCUGGUCUGAACGAGACCAUGUGAGACCACGUGGAUGAGAUUAGUGGGGUGAGAUUUGAACACAACACUCUCAAAUUUCAAAUUCACAGUGUUUGCCUAUCUAUAAAUGAUCUCAACACAAUGGCUAAGCAUGGAUGGCAAGGAAACAUAUAAAUCUAGAAAGCAAAGAAAUAAAAACUUGGAUCUUAAUCUUAAGAUACCUCAAGUUACAUAUAUUGACAGUUGACUGUGUCUGUCUUGGAAAUGUCUAUCUGCUGACCUACGAUUGAUGCUGGAACAGGGGAGACCCCUUGACUCUCGUGUGGUUAAGAACCCAUUAAGAACUAGACUCCCAUUGCCAAACAUGACACAUCAGAACAAAUUAUACAUAUUUCAUUAUCCUGUGGAGCGGUCUGAUUUCCUAGUCCAGUGCUAUUUUUGAAUAUUUUUCAGGCAUGGACUGAAUAUGUGGUUCCCUUGUGGCCAUCUCAAAACAUAGAACAGGGAGUAUUUGCUUUAUUAAUAUCAUCUUUCCCUCGCUGCGAGGGGACAAGUUAUAAAUUAGAGGAGAUUAGAAAGCAGUCUCUUGAGAAUUAGUAUUUUAAGAAAUUACCUAGAAAGAACCAAGGGUGGUUUUUUUUUUUUCUCUUUCUCCCCGCAUGGUAACUCACACAGAGGAGCAGUCUGCCCCAGAUCCCCGCAAGACAACAUCUUGAGCGCAUAUGUGAUUCUGGGCUCUGUAUUGACAAACCCAAGAACUCCAGCGCAAAAUAACCGGAGUUCCCAAGUUAAAAAUGAAAGUAAGAUUAUCAAAAUUAGUAUUCCUAUUGCAUCGUCCCAACAACUUCAUAAACAGUCGUUAAACUAGAUAGCAUUACAGGUUAGUUAAUUUACCCAUGCAAGGAUCAACCUUCAUGGUGGAUGCGAAGUUACAAAUAACCCAUCUAUCUAUCUCCCGCUUUACCAAUGUUCUCGCCCCUUUCAGAAGCAUCAUCACAUUCAACAGAAACAAUACGAAGCUCAUAUUUUACUAGAAGGCUUAUCCAAAUACAUGCCAUAUCAAAAAUAGUCAGGAUAUAAAUGUUUCUCACAAGAGCUGCAGCGAUGGUGUGAACAAGAAACUCCCUUCUGAGAUUUCAGUAAAACCAGAUCUCACAAAGGAUCUGAAAGAAAACAAAACACACACACACACACAAAAACAAACACACACACACACAAAGAGACACACACACAGAGAACAGAGCUUACGUUAAUCCGAUUUACCAUAGCGGUUGCUAUAUUAUCACACUAUUUUACAGGGUAUGAUCCUGUUCCUUCCCCGGCGAAGCAAGAGAGAGACGAGCCUGCUCCAGGUGCCUCGGGAGAAUGUCCAGGGUGGGGGGCUAGCUAAGCAUGUUCCCUGGGAGCUUACCAAAACCACAGAUUUUAAACACAGCAAAAAUGUCACUGCUAUCAAAUGGUCAAGCAUGCAAGAGGACUCUGUCUCACGGGGCUCUGUGCCCCUCUCAGAAUAAACACAAACCCCCAAAUCCACCAGCUGGAAUUCUUUAAAUUGUAAAUUAGAUAUCAAAAUGCUUACGGGCCUUACAGUGAGAUAACAUCAGGAGGAACGGUGCGUGGAAUGGAUCUCGCAUUCUCACAUAAAGCGUUAUCUUUGCUACAAGUACACACAGCAGGGCAUUUUGGCUUCGCUGGUUUCUUCCCCUCAGUCAGCAAAACCACAGAAAAGAGGCAUAGGAAAUAGGCAAUUCUUUUCAGGGGAAUGCAGGCAUUUCCCAUCCUUCUGAUGCUUUCUGAUUCCAUGCAGUCGAGAGAAUAUCCCCACACAUGAACAAGGGCUUCUGGAAUUCAGCUGCUGGUUGUCUCGCUCUAAGAACAGGUCACAUAGGAGUUCCACCCUUCUCUGCUUCUGUAUCUGCUCUUUCAAAACAGGGACCUCCAGCUGAUUCGUGAGCUGUUCCUCGUUCAGGCAGCGCACUGCUGGGGGAAGAGACCUGCGAGGUGCUGAGAUGGGAGCGAGCCAACUGCUGGAGGAAGAGAGCCGACUCACUUCACAGAAAACACUGAGCACUGAGCACGGACCGGUCUUCGAAGGCUAGCGAAGUGAUGUAACAGAAAAUAAACAGCUUUCUGCUUUCA